GUCCUUUUGUAGUUCAUGAGCCUGAUGAUUGGGUUUCCACGCACACGUGUGAGACAGGCCUCCCUUAACCCUUGUUAUGUCAUUGGCACAUUACCCAUCUGAUG
ensembl:snoRNA